UUUCACUUGAACUCAAACAUGGACUAGAUCUCUUUGGAUAUAAGAUUGUUGAUGAAUGGAGGUCAGAUUUCUAAUGAUCAAGUUGCUGGUGCAUCUGAGCUUGAGCAUGGUGCAGUAUCUCUCCCACUAGUCCACCGGGUCUUUUCCGGCAUGCCUGAGAUGAAGAUGGAUUAGAUGAGCAAAUCGAGGCUUUUUGUUGAUUACUUGUUGUACACAUUUUCGGGUACUAUUUGUUUUGGCAUUUACUACAAAAAUAUGCUUUUAAUUAUACAUUUUUUGUGGUUGUACUAGAUUAUUUAUGUUCAAUUUUAAGUUCAAAAGACUUUUCUUUUUAUUGUAAUUGAAUACAUUAGAUUUGUGGUUGAUUUGUGUUAUAUUAUGCAUUUAAUAGUUUGGGUUUGUGA